GGCAGAGAUCAUUUGCCCCAAGAACGGCAGCGAGCGAGUGAAUGUUGCCUUGGUUUACCCACCUACGCCAACUGUGAUCAGCCCCUGUUCCAAGAAGAACGUUGGUGAAAAGCACAGAAACCAGUGACUUUCGUGGCUGUGGACUUUCCAUGGAGUAAAGAGCAUCAGAACUCACCUGGGCCAUCUUUUGUACCUCCACAUCCCAAGCGUGUUCUGUGAACUUGAGUGCAAAAGCAUUCAGGUGCUUUCCGAGGACUGUUGAAGAGGUGGGAGGGCAGGGGGGAGGGGGGAGAGAAUAUGGAGCAAAUGUUUUACAACCUGAACCUCAGAACUGAUCCUCCAAGGAGAGCGCUACUUGAAGAAAAGAAAAAAAAAGUCGAAUGGCUUCUCAGGGAUUUUGUUUUCCGUGCACAUAUAAGCCAUAGUUACAGUACAGGUGGCAGUAUUUAGAGCACUCAGAUUUCAGUUCUGUUCAAUGUGAAAGAGGGAUCGACUGACGUUCAUUGCUGUUCCGUAACUAGUGUAAAAUAUGUAUAUGUUUAUCUUUAUUUUUAUAAUAUGCAAAUACAUUUAAAUUUAUACCGUUU